CCCUUAGAUGUUCUGGGCCGCACGCGCGCUACACUGACGAAUGCAACGAGCUUAUAACCUUGGCCGAAAGGUCUGGGUGAUCUCCAAAUUUCGUCGUGAUGGGGAUAGAUUAUUGCAAUUAUUAAUCUUCAACGAGGAAUGCCUAGUAAGCGCAAGUCAUCAGCUUGCGUUGAUUACGUCCCUGCCCUUUGUACACACCGCCCGUCGCUCCUACCGAUUGAAUGGUCCGGUGAAGCGUUCGGACCGUGGCCUUUGGACGGUUCGCCGUCUGUUGGCUGCGGGAAGUUCGUUAAACCUUAUCAUUUAGAGGAAGGAGAAGUCGUAACA
rnacentral:rRNA from 1 species